rnacentral:rRNA from 1 species
AACGAACGCUGGCGGCGCGCCUAAUACAUGCAAGUCGAGCGAGAAGACGUAGCAAUACGUUUGUAAAGCGGCGAACGGGUGAGUAACACGUGGGUGACCUGCCUUUAGCUCUGGGAUAAGCCUGGGAAACUGGGUCUAAUACCGGAUAUGACCCUAUGGCGCAUGUUGUGGGGUGGAAAGCCUUGUGCGGCUAGGGAUGGGCCCGCGGCCUAUCAGCUUGUUGGUGGGGUGAUGGCCUACCAAGGCGACGACGGGUAGCCGGCCUGAGAGGGCGACCGGCCACACUGGGACUGAGACACGGCCCAGACUCCUACGGGAGGCAGCAGUGGGGAAUCUUGCGCAAUGGGCGAAAGCCUGACGCAGCGACGCCGCGUGAGGGAUGACGGCC